rnacentral:rRNA from 1 species
CAAUAGCGUAUAUUAAAGUUGUUGCGGUUAAAAAGCUCGUAGUUGGAUUUCUGCUGAGAACGACCGGUCCGCCCUUUGGGUGUGUAUCUGGCUCUUUCUUGGCAUCUUCUUGGUGAACGUUGCUGCACUUGACUGUGUGGAGCGCUACCCAGGACUUUUACUUUGAGGAAAUUAGAGUGUUUCAAGCAGGCAUACGCCUUGAAUACAUUAGCAUGGAAUAAUAAGAUAGGACCUCGGUUCUAUUUUGUUGGUUUCUAGAGCUGAGGUAAUGAUUAAUAGGGAUAGUUGGGGGCAUUCGUAUUUAACUGUCAGAGGUGAAAUUCCUGGAUUUGUUAAAGACGGACUACUGCGAAAGCAUUUGCCAAGGAUGUUUUCAUUGA